CCCAGAUUCCUUUCAGAGGUUAUUGGGAAUAUGCAGUUUCUCCAUUUACCUGAUUUGCAGGGAGACUCAUCUUAAGUCAAACUGCUUUAAUAGAACUAAAGCCAUGUCAGGGUUUGAACCGCUGUAAAGAUAUUCAAGUGGAAAUAUCCAGCAGAUAAUUAAGGUCUGGUGCUUAGAAGAGAGGUUGGAGCUUGGUCCUAAAGAUGAAGAUUUGGGACUAAGGAUUAAUAGCCCAGCCAUGACAACACAUACUUUGGCUAGGAAAUUAUGUGUACAUGUAUGUUUGGAAGAAGGAGAAAGGAAGAAAACAAGCUGGCAGAAAAUGGAUGUAACUCCAAAAUAUACCAAGUCCAAAUUUUGUUUUGUUUGUUUGGCUUGAAGACGGAGAGGGAAAGAUGCAAACUGUCUAAUGGGCAGGUGGAAGAAGACCUAUUGUUUUUAUGUACAACUAAAGUCCCAUUUGGUUUGGGAAAUUAGCCUUUCAAUUAGUGAUUAUGAUGUAAAAAGAAGUUCAGCUAUCAGGAUCUUGCAUGAGUUUUAUUUAAUCAAGUGUAUAACAACUUCAAUCUAUAACCAUUCCACAACACUAAAGAUCUGAUGAAAGCUACCUUUUAGUUUACAAGGGGAUGACAAAGUAGAACAAAUUUAAUAAGUUACAAUUUAUUAAGCUUGAUUAACAUAUUCCGCUAUAACAGUCAUUAUGCACAUCAACCAUGGCUUAAACAGACCUAUUCUUUGUAUCAACUGAAUAGCAUCACAAAAUGUGCACUUUAGUAAAUUUCUUUUUUGGCUCAACAGUAAUAACAUUUUAAAGAAAAAGUAAACAUCUUCUAGUGUAGAAAAAGAUGCCACUUGGUCUUUUUAUUUCAGAUACUACCAUACGAUAAAAAUGUCAUAGGAAUAUUUUUUUAAAUAUAAACUGAUCACCAAGAAUUCAGAAAAUUGCAUCACACAUAUUAGUACUAUUCUUUAUAGUUAUUAAUAAUCUAAAAAAUAAAUGUUUGAUCACUUCUUCUAGAGCAUGAUAAAUCAAAAAGUUUUUAGAAUUAAAAGUAUAUGAUGGUCAAUAAAACAUAAUCAAAACAUUUCUCCUUCAUAUAUAUAGUUACUUCAUAUAUAAAGCAGCCUUAAGAAACAUUAGAUCUAUUUAAUUUUCUGAAGUCUUUCAGAAAAAAAAUAAGAAAAAAGUUACAAUUCCUUCUGUAUACUUUGUAACCACAACAGUAGUAACUACUUACAAUUACAUUUACAACAUUUAAAGCAAAAUAUCCAGAUGGGAAUUCUAGACAAAGAAGC